AGUCGCGAAAAAUGGAGACAUUUUUCUUCAGUUUGGCUGGACUACACACAGGUGUUGCAUGGCUGUCGUCAGCUCGUGUCGUGAGAUGUUGGGUUAAGUCCCGCAACGAGCGCAACCCUUAUUCUUAUUUGCCAGCGGGUAAUGCCGGGAACUAUAGGAAAACUGCCGGUGCUAAGCCGGAGGAAGGUGGGGAUGAGGUCAAGUCAUCAUGGCCCUUAUGAGUUGGGCUACACGCGUGCUACAAUGGUACCUACAGAGUGAUGCGAUACGGUGACGUGGAGCUAAUCAUUAU
rnacentral:rRNA from 1 species